rnacentral:rRNA from 1 species
AUUGAACGCUGGCGGCAGGCUUAACACAUGCAAGUCGAACGAGUGGCGGACGGGUGAGUAAUGUAUGGGGAUCUGCCUGAUGGAGGGGGAUAACUACUGGAAACGGUAGCUAAUACCGCAUACCAUCAGAUGAACCCAUAUGGGAUUAGCUGGUAGGUAAGGUAACGGCUUACCUAGGCGACGAUCCCUAGCUGGUCUGAGCGGAUGAUCGGCCACACUGGGACGUGGACAGGCCCCAGACUCCUACGGGAGGCAGCAGUGGGGAAUAUUGCACAAUGGGCGCAAGCCCGAUGCAGCCAUGCCGCGUGUAUGAAGAAGGCCUUCGGGUUGUAAAGUACUUUCAGUCGGGAGGCGUUACCGACAGAAGAAGCACCGGCUAACUCCGUGCCAGCAGCCGCGGUAAUUC